UCUGAUUACUGGGCUCAAUCUGUUGCCAAUGGCAACCAGUGCCACUGCCAAUGCAGUGACAGCAUUGUUUCCAUCUGUGCCUACAGGACAAAUUUUAAAUCUUAGAGUUUAAAUUUCUGAAACAACCUUACAGACACAAUUAAUUAAUCUGUACUUUUCUUAGGGAUUCUUUUUUCAGCUGGUACACCUGCAAUAAGCAAAAUGACCCUUACCUUGCGUAAAAGCCAAAUAGCAGUUGGCCAGUAGCACCUCAAUUAUAACUUGUUCUAUGAAUUGAUGUCUCAGGUUUGUGCUCUUAACUACCUGCAGUUCUCCUUCCCAGCAUUACAGUGAGUGCCUGUGCAGCUUCUCCUUCCAAGACAGAGCUGAUGUGAAAACCAGGCCCAUGAUCCAUCUCCCUACAUAAUUCCACUAGCACAGCUCUGGGUACAGAGAAGCAUGAAAAAGUCCGUGUAAGGAAUAAAAACAGCCCUGUUUUGCAUCAGUCAAAGUUUCCAUCAUCAUCCUACUGCAGCCCAGGGCACCAAAGGUGGAGCUACUACAGCUGCUAUCUCUAAAAUGCUUUUCACUGGCAAAGAAAUGGGAUAUCACUGUGACAGAUUUGUGUGCUCGCCGACGGCUUGGAGAACAGCUUUUUGCAAAUAGAGGUGUCAAUGGGAAGAUCUUCUUACCAAUGUUCAUAUUUUCAUACCCAUCCAGCUGAAGGUGUCUAAUCAGAAAGCUGAAAUGGUUGGUGUUCAAAUGGUUGGUGUUCAGAAUUAAACAAGCUAAGUUGCCUGGAUGAUAACAGCAUUAACAGAGGGAAAUUUUUUUUUUUAUGGAAUUCCUUUUUUUUUUUUUAAAGAAAAAAAAGAGAAAAGGUCUUAACUUGAUCUUAAGACUAAAUUUAGUAAAUCAACAUUAACCACUGAAACAAGCAGGCAAAGAAAGUAGUCAGGAAUUUCACAAGCCAGGAAAACCAAGAAAUAAACUCACAAUAUUUACAAAGAUAAUGGAAAUUACUAAUGGCUGCUCCAACAUAUGUUAAAUGAUUUCUCACAACGUGUACAAUAGAAUGGACACGAAUUUUUUGUAAGUAGGGUAGCCUUGAGGUCCAGGAUAGGAUCUGAAGUAAGAAUUCUCUUCCUGAAAAAAAAAAAAAGCCCUUUGAACUGUGAGUUGAAACCAUGAAGCUAUUUCCCACAAGUAAUUACCAUUUUGCAUGCCACUCACUGCUGGUCCUAUUGCCUUUAGAAGCACAGCAUAUAUUGGAGGCUAUCAUAUCAAUCUACAGAGUUGAAUUAUAAUUUCUUUGAUAUAAUGACUCUCUUUGACAGUCACACACAGUCAAAGUCACUGUUCAGAAAGGAUAACCAAACUAUUGCCUCUCAAGUGUAAUACAUUGCAUUAAAAUGCAAGUCAUUUCUUAAAAUGCACAUUCACUGAACUCCAACCCUUCAUAAAUCUUGUAACAUUUCAUUUCACAGCUCUGGAAUCUUUAAAACUGGGGCUCUGGUAACUUCCUGCAUAACCUUAAAACACAUAUAAAUUUCCCACUUUAGCAUUUUUCUUCUCUUUUGUGCAAAAAUUGCAAAAGAAAAUGACAAACAGUUUGGAAUCUCUUGCCUAUAUGAUCUUUGCAGCACACCUGUCAAAAUCAAUUAUUAGACACUGGGUCUUCUCAUGUUGUUGAAGGCUUUUUGACAUCCACCCAAAUUUCCCAUCCUUUAAUUCCAUGUAUUUGCUCUGGGUGAUAAUGUCUUGAAAAAAAAUAAUUAUUUUUUCUAGGUUUAUAGGUAAUUUAUGUGGUCUUUAUAUGAUCUUCAUUCCCCCUUAGUAAA